AACGACGCUGGCGGCAGGCCUAAAACAUGCAAGUCGAACGAACCUUCGGGUUAGUGGCGCACGGGUGAGUAACGCGUGGGAAUGUGCCUCUGGGUGCGGAACAACGUCGGGAAACUGACGCUAAUACCGCAUAAUGCCUACGGACCAAAGAUUUAUCGCCCAGAGAUCAGCCCGCGUCUGAUUAGCUAGUUGGUGAGGUAACGGCUCACCAAGGCUACGAUCAGUAGCUGGUCUGAGAGGAUGAUCAGCCACACUGGAACUGAGACACGGUCCAGACUCCUACGGGAGGCAGCAGUGGGGAAUAUUGGGCAAUGGGGGAGACCCUGACCCAGCGACGCCGCGUGAGGGAUGAAGGUUUUCGGAUCGUAAACCUCUGUUGUACGGGAAGAAGGAUGUGACGGUACCGUACGAGAAAGCCCCGGCAAACCUACGUG
rnacentral:rRNA from 1 species